rnacentral:rRNA from 1 species
GUUGAUCAUGGCUCAGGAUGAACGCUAGCUACAGGCUUAACACAUGCAAGUCGAGGGGCAGCAUUGGGAUAGCUUGCUAUUCAGAUGGCGACCGGCGCACGGGUGAGUAACGCGUAUCCAACCUUCCUGCCAGUAGGGAACAGCCCGGCGAAAGUCGGAUUAAUGCCCUAUGUUCUUCAAUGCGGACAUCUAAGUUGAAGGAAAGAUUCAUCGCUGGCAGAUGGGGAUGCGUCCGAUUAGCUUGCCGGCGGGGUAACGGCCCACCGGGGCGACGAUCGGUAGGGGUUCUGAGAGGAAGGUCCCCCACACUGGUACUGAGACACGGACCAGACUCCUACGGGAGGCAGCAGUGAGGAAUAUUGGUCAAUGGGCGUAAGCCUGAACCAGCCAAGUAGCGUGCAGGACGACGGCCCUACGGGUUGUAAACUGCUUUUAUGCGGGGAUAACCGGCGCCACGCGUGGCGCCCUGCAGGUACCGCAUGAAUAAGGACCGGCUAAUUCCGUGCCAGCCGCCGC